AGUGUAGGGCUAAGAUGGUCGGUUUUUUAUCAUCUGUCAUCAUGCCUGUCACGUUCUAACAAGUAUGUAAGUGCGAAAGUGACGCAUAACAUGACAAGUGAUAAAAAUGCGACCAUGAUACCGCCGCAGGGAUAGUACGAUUUAUCGACCACAUACGCGCCAAUAUUAUUUCAACUUUAAUAUUCCGAUUUAAGGUUCAAAUUAAAUUGCACUUUCGUUAAAUUUGACUUGUCUUCAAAUGAAUCAUCAAAGCUGGAUUAUUUGGAAUAUAUUUAGAUUUUUGGGAAA